rnacentral:tmRNA from 1 species
GGGGCCGAACUGGAUUCGACCGGACAGGGAACGUGCGUUUGCGGCGCGUCGAGGAGCAUGCUGGCCUCGUAAAAAGCAUGCAACACAAUGAUUGCUAACAGCAAUUACGCUCUCGCUGCCUAACCAUGGCGGCAUGAGCCCCACUGGACGCCUGAUACGGCGGGGCUCAAACGACUUCAGGCUGGCAGAGAUCCGCCGUCCGCGGGGGUCACCUGCGAGAAAACACCGGGGACUGGGCUUGGGGAAAGGGCGCGGGCGCUCGCUCUUCAAGCCGAGAUCAAACCGCCCGAUACACGCGUAGAGGCGCGCACCGACUGCCACGGGACGGGGGUUCGAUUCCCCCCGGCUCCA